UACGUAGGGGGCAAGCGUUGUCCGGAUUUAUUGGGCGUAAAGAGCGUGUAGGCGGUCUGGUAGGUCCGUUGUGAAAACUCGAGGCUCAACCUCGAGACGCCGAUGGAAACCCUCAGACUAGAGUCCGGAAGAGGAGAGUGGAAUUCCGUGGUGUAGCGGUGAAAUGCGCAGAGUAUCAGGAAGAACACCCGUGGCUAAGGCGGCUCUCUAGUACGGUACUGACGCUGAGACGCGAAAGCGUGGGGAGCGAACAGG
rnacentral:rRNA from 1 species